GUGGGGAAUAUUGGACAAUGGGCGAAAGCCUGAUCCAGCCAUGCCGCGUGUGUGAAGAAGGUCUUCGGAUUGUAAAGCACUUUAAGUUGGGAGGAAGGGCAGUAAGUUAAUACCUUGCUGUUUUGACGUUACCGACAGAAUAAGCACCGGCUAACUUCGUGCCAGCAGCCGCGGUAAUACGAAGGGUGCAAGCGUUAAUCGGAAUUACUGGUCGUAAAGCGAGCGUAGGUGGUUUUGUAAGUUGGAGGUGAAAUCGCCGGGCUCAACCUGGGAACUGACUCCAAAACUGCAUGACUAGAGUACGGUAGAGGGUAGUGGAAUGUCCUGUGUAGCGGUGAAAUGCGUAGAUAUAGGAAGGAACACCAGUGGCGAAGGCGACUACCUGGACUGAUACUGACACUGAGGUGCGAAAGCGUGGGGAGCAAACAGGAUUAGAUACCCGGGUAGUCC
rnacentral:rRNA from 1 species